rnacentral:miRNA from 1 species
ACUGGCUUCUGUGGACAGGUGUCUUUUAUACAGGUAACGAGCUGAGAUUAGGAGCACUCCCUGUAAGAGAGUGCUCCUAAUCUCAGCUUGUUACUUGUAUAAAAGACACCUGUGAGCCAGAAA